GACGGAAGGCUAGGGUUCAAUCUUUCCCUUCAAAGCUCAUUCUUUUCACCUCUUCUGUCCCUCAGUGUUUUAUAAUCCACUCCUUCUCUAUCCCCAUCACUGACUUGGGUCAGUGUCUUCUGGGUCUUAAUAUUCAAGCCUUUUGUCCAUGUCUCUCUUCAUGGUAAACAUUAAGUACAUGUCACCCCCUAGGUGAUUAACCUCCUUGUCCCUAUCUACCGGAGCAGCGAAUACAUGAAGAGACACUGCCGAAUCGCUAAAAUUAAGUAGAUGCAGAUUUAAUUCCCACCUCUGCUAUUUAGUAUUUAUGUGUCCUUCAGCAAUUUCCUGAAGCCUAUAAGGAAGUAAUUUCUACCUGGGCGUUUAGUUUCCUCAUUAGUAAAAUAAUAGGAUUGCCAUUAAUUCCAUAUCCUUCUGGCUUUAACUAAAAGAAGAUUUCUUAGACGAAGAGAAAUAAAAUAACCUAAGUUUAGUAGAUUGAGAGGCUUGGCUCCAGAAAAUCAGUCUGACUAAAUGUUGAAGGAAAUCGUCCCAGGUCCCACUGCUCAGCCCUUCUCCUGUAGAUUGGGUCGCUGACCUCAUACUGACUUUGUGACAUCCCAGAGUGAGGAAGUAUAAGUCCACAGUUGCCUGGUUUCUUUAGAUGCUCCUCCCUGCCUCAUCUCAAGGCUCAGAAAACCAUUUUCAGCAUGAAGAAACUGCGGAGCACUCGUGCAGGACGGUGCUCUGGAGAGGAUACAAAUCUUUCUGCACGGUGACAUAGUCCUUACUGCGGUGACAUAGAUCUCUGCGGUAUUACCUUCCACAUUUUCUCCCGGAACAAAAAUGAGGCUGCCCAGCAUUGAGAAUCUCUUGAUCAAUAAAAUCGGAUCACUGCAACA